UACAGGGGGUGCAAGCGUUAUUCGGAAUUAUUGGGCGUAAAGAGCGCGUAGGCGGUUUGGUAAGUUUGGUGUGAAAUCCCUGGGCUCAACCCAGGAACUGCGUCCGAUACUGGUUGGCUUGAAUCCGGGAGAGGGAUGCGGAAUUCCAGGUGUAGCGGUGAAAUGCGUAGAUAUCUGGAGGAACACCGGUGGCGAAGGCGGCAUCCUGGACCGGCAUUGACGCUGAGGCGCGAAAGCCAGGGGAGCAAACGGG
rnacentral:rRNA from 1 species